ACAAGGUUAUGGGGAAGGAGAGCGGCGCGGCCAAGACGUGCCUCCCUCGCGGUUGACUUGCUGCUCCGCUAAUCGGCGGCUGCUGUGGCCCAUUGAGAGUCACCUCCCGGCCGAGGCCGCCUCGGCAACAUCAGUAUGCCGGAGACAUUGGCAGGCAGACUAGAGCGCAGGCUUGGAGCCGCCGCUGUCCUCAGAUGAACCCGGCUCGGCUGCCAGCAGCCAGCGGAGCGCGCGCAAGGCUGGGGCUCCGAGUGCCGGAGGCAGCUAACACCCCUUCUGUAGAGUUCUUAGAGAUGCCCCUGGCCACGUAGAGUUAGGCGGGGGGCCCUAGAUACGCUCCGCAGACACACUGGCAAGGUUCAGGGUCUGCAGUCAAGUUGCAUGAAGAUAAGUGAGAUUCAGAGAUUCCAAGGCCACAACCGACCACUGUGUUCUUCUAGUCUGGCCUCCUGCAUGGCACAGCAUCUACAUACAAUGACUGAGUGAACAGGUCAGACAACAUGGACUCAAGAACCAGCAAUAUGCUCUACCCAACCUUCACCACAUACGACCACAUCAUUACUACCAUGACGGCCCAGUGCUUGGAUGAGAUCAGUUCCUGGCUGAAGCUGAAUCUGAGCAAGACAGAGGUGAUGUUGGUCAGAGUAAGGUAUUUUGAAGCGCUUGCAACCACCGUGCACAACUGGUCAAUUCAGUCUAUAGUCUAGGAGCACUCUUGGAUUCCUUCCUGCUAUUGAACUCUCACAUAGCAGCAUCUGAAAGGAAUGCUUUCUACCAUCUCCGCUUGGCUAGGAAACUCCAUCCCAUCCUGGUGGACAAAGAUCUGGCCUCAGCACAGGCACCAACUUUCUGAUUUCCUUGGGGGUGCUCCACCCCUACCCCAUCUCAGGCCCCACACCCCCAGUCCACCCCUUCCCCCCCUCCCAUCUCUUCCCAUCCCUGCUGUGCCUCCACCCCACUUCUUCCUGUCCCAUUCUGUCUCCAUCCCCAAGCCCGCUUCACCCUCACUCUGCCUCUUCCUGUCCCCACUCCUCCCCCCCUCCAUCGCCUCCUGCCUGCCACUGAA